UAGACAUGGUCAUUUUCAGUCUGAGCAGAA
rnacentral:piRNA from 1 species